CGGCGCUUCUGGACUUAGGCUUUUAAAAAUUUUUGAGAAUUAUUUGGGUGCGAGUUUUGAAUAGCUGUGGGGAUGACAAUAUGAGGUUGUACUUUUGGCCUGAAGCAUUUUGAAUUUUUUGUGUUUUUUGUGUCGAUUUUAACCCUGACAGUGGCGUGAUUUCGGAUUUUUUAAGGGGUGCGAGUUUUGGAUACGCGUGGGAGGCAAUAUGAGGUUUGCAAUUUUGGACUUUAUCUUUAUGAAUUUUUUGCGAUUCAAUUUUGCCGAUUUCGACCCUGUCAGUGGCGUGUUUGCGUAUUUUUAAGGGGUGCGAGUUUUGUAUAUGUAUGGGAGAGCAAUAUAAGGUUUGUGCUUUUGGACUAGAGCUUUUUGAAUUUUUUGCGAUUUGUUUUUACCGAUUUCGACUCUUGUCAGUGGCGUACUUUCGUAUUUGUUAAGGGGUACGAGUUUGUAUGGAAAACGUGAGAAUUUUGACCU
rnacentral:lncRNA from 1 species